AAAAUUGCAGACGGAAAGCCGAAGAGGGAAAAAGCAGAAGGAGGUGGUUGCUUCAUGGACUGCUGCAAGAGAGGAAAACGCCAGAAGGCAAAUGAAAAUUGAAGAUGAAAGCGCCAAAUAGAAAAAGAGCAGAAAGGAACGGUUGCUUAUUUGAUUGGUCCCGUAGAAGAAAACGUCAGUGUUUACCGAGGAACACUAAAGAAAUUGGGGCAUUCGCGUGAGAUUCCAGAAAGCAGAGAGUGUGACUGCGAUGCAUGGUGAUGGCUGCGAGCUUUGGCGAAUCUCUGUGAUGGCGAAAGAGGAGGAAGCUCUGGCGACAACUGUGUCAAAUUUCUGGUUGGAACCGGUGAGAUCUUAUACUUCUUCGUUAUGCAAUUCAUUUUCCUAUAGUUUUCUGUCGUUAUGUUUUUAUUUAAAUAGUGAUUGUCUGCUCAUGAAAUGUUUUUUUGGUUGCAUACGAAGAAAUAGAAUUGGAAUUUGAUUCAUAUGAUCAACAACAAUAUGAGAUUACUGAAAUGUUGACUGCUGAAAUGGUGGUCGAGAACUAUUGUUCGAUACUUGAAUCAACAGACGUAUUGAACUAGUAUUACUUUAUUGAUACUGUAUUAAACUACACUAUUACUAUGGAAAACAUAAUCCCCGGGAGCUCUGGUUAAAAAAAAAUUAACAAUAAUAAUAAUAAUAAAAGAAGACGUUGAGUUAUGAAUGGUUCGAUUGAAACUGGUUUUCAUUGCUCAAUCAGUCAGAACUUAUCCAUUUAUUUGGUGAUUGUCAGUUGGAACGUUCACUUAAUCCAAAAUACAAUGAUUUGUAUCCAACUUAAAGGAUGCUAUUCAAAAGAUGAAAUAGGAGGAUUCAAUAUAGACGGGUGUUAGAAUUGCAUUAGAAAAUUUUGGUAAAAAUCUAGUUGAAAGGGUGCCCUAAUGUGCCAACUCCAAACUGUUAAAAGCUGAUAUGAUUCUUGGGGAUAAAAACUAACAAUUUAUGGAUGUCUUUUUAUCUUAAGCUUUAGUCUUCCUGGAUAUUUGUUUUAGAUAAGAUAGGGGUAGAACUAAUUCAAUAUGAGUUACGUGUUUUUAGCUUAAAAGACUCUUAUUUACUGCAAAUCAAGAUCUCCAAAUUAAUAUGCUAGAAGUUUGUUCUUUUUCUAAUCAUUUCAUGCUUAACUUUUCUCUGGUAUGCAUAAUGGAUAAAUUGGACUAUACAUUUAAUACAUUGUUGAUUUUUCGAUGAAAGAUGAGCCACCCAGGCAAAUGGUUAUUAUGGUAUGAUAUGUUAGAGAUAGAACCUCCUAUGGUAAGUUAAGGUAGAACAGAGAUGGAUAAGUAUAGGAUCUAGUAUUGCCUCUACCGAAUUUUUACUCCAUACUUGACCGGAUUGAUUCUCACCUUGUUGGUUGUUGUUCGUAUACAUCAGCCUUACAUAAUAACAUAUUUUAUAAGUAUGAUUGAGUUGAAAAUCAACCUCAUCAAUCACAAGGAGCACAAGUACCUAAUCAAGUAAAGAAGAAUUCAAUUAGAAAAGGUACUACCAGUCCGAACCUAGCCAUACUUACUCAACUGAAGAAGAUGAUGGUUCUACAUUCUAAAGAGCUACAAACUAGUCUUGGCUAUAUAUAGAACAUGUUAAUGCACCAAGUCUACAACUAGUCCUUGCUAUAUAUAGAACAGAUUAAUGCACCAAGACUACAGCUAGUCUUAGCUAUAUAUAGGGCAUGUUAAUGCACCAAGUCUAAAUGAAGUUUGGAUAUAAUCAAGCUAGUCAAUAUGCCAACAUAAUUGAAGAGUUAGUAAAUUAUGUCCAUUCACGCAUCUUUUUAUGUGUGUUUAGCACUGAAUAUUAGUAAACAUAGAAUCAUUGUCAUUUCAUAUUGCAAGAACGGUUUUAUUUCAUUGUGGAAAAAUGAUGUGCCUGAAUAUCAAGGAGGGGCUGAAAAUCAUCCUGGUCAAAUGCUUCAUCAGAUAGAAGAAAAUAACCACACACCAAAACAAAUCCAACUGGUAGAGUUAGUACUAGAUUUUAUACUUAACAGACUAACCAUACUAACAUAUGCCAAUAUAUAUAUAUUUAAAUAUUUAACUUAUAGAUGACAAAAAUAUGUAAACGUUAUCGUGCGACCUAAUGAAUAUAUUAUUUUCUUAAUAAAUACAUUUAAUUUUUUUUUUCAUGUAUGUAUAUUUAUUGAUGUUUAAAUAAUUGUGUAUAUUGUUAUUAGAGAAUAAAUAAUGAAAUUGCAUAUGAGGUCACUUUUUAUUAUUUUACUUAUUAUUAUUACUAUUUUCUAAGUGAUUUAAGUAUUGAUUUACACAUGAAUUUUAUAAAUUUUUGAAUCUGUUAUAAACGUACUCUAAGUUCAUUUCUUGAAAAUAGUCAUUCUUUUCUCACACCCAAUCUUACAGCAUGGCAACUCCAAUUUUGUUAUAUUGAGCCACAAAUAUGUUAGACUUAAUAAAGUUAAUUUGUCUCAAAUAUCAAAAUAAUUCAAUUUUAUUUUCUAAACAUUAGUUUAAAAAGAUAUUAAUAAUUAAUUACUGUAUUAUGAUAUAUAUCUAACUAAUUAAAAAACUAAAUAAUAAACAUAAAUAUUUGCUACUACAUAGCUUUUUUUUUUUUUUUUCAAUUGACAACUAUAUGAACCGAAGCCCAUGAUUCAAAAAUGCAACAGACUGAGACCAUAGAGGCCCUAGAUUAAAAUUAAGCAUACCAACCAAAGUUCUUUUACAAUAGUCAUUUUAUAUUGAAAUUGAAAUCUCUUUAAGUACCCAAUAAUAACUCUCAUUAUAACACUCAAACUCGGAAAUGUAGCCCAUGAUAAUUUUUUUAUUUAUAAAAUAUAAAUAUAAAUAAUUAAAAUUUUAAUUUUAAUUUAAUUUUAUUUAAAUUAUUGAAAAAAAUAAAAUGAAGACGAAAUUAAAAAUAAUUCUGAAAAAAUGAGUGAAAUUGUGAGUAAGGGAUGUCUUUUCAAAAGAAAAUUUGAAAACAAGGGGUGAAAUAGUAAAAAAAAAAAUAAGGCUACAUGGGACGAUCAUGUCAGCAACCAUGACAAAUUAGAAAAUGUCGUGUGGUGGAGACGUUGAUGCGGGAGGCCACGCGGGUGAUCCGUGUGCUUGAGUAAUCUGACGAUCUAGAUCGCAUCUUAUGUGCACGAACAACCCAGAUGUAUUCUCUCUUUAGACGCGAUCAGACGGACGAGAUUAAUUGCGAUGAAUAGUCCAGAUUCGUCCAUGCAAUCGGCCUAAAUAGACAACGAUCGAACGGCUCUCCCCGCUCCACGUUGACGUGAAUGGACAACCUGGAUCAGAUAGAAGAGAUGUAUUUAAACCUCUCUUCAGUUGGUCCCAAACCCAAGUUGACACUCGGCCGGAGAAGAAGAAGAAGGAGGCAGUCGGAUGGAAGACCAGUUGUCACACCGGAACCACCGUCGACUGCCGAAAAAGCUAGAAUUUUCUCAUUCCCGCUUGAAAUUUAAUCUCGAGCCUCCUUAUGGCCAUAUCGGAGCAAAAGAGGCGAUGUAUGAGUCAGAAACCGCGGGCAAAGCUCGACCAAGCCACUGCGGCUAAAAUUCGAAAUCCUCUCUGAUGACCCCUUUUUGUUUAUUGUUUCAUGUGAUUUUUUGAUCACCGUAUUCACUGUCUUUUUUUAGUGCAGGUUAGCCGAAAAAAAACCCUAGUCGUGAAGGAGAACCGGUGGAGUCGUCGCACUUGGAGACCCCCCCAGCAAUAGGUUUCGAUUUUUCAGCAUUUUUCGGCCAAUUGAGGCUUCCUAAUCCAUUUUUCUGCAGAUUUACGGGUAAAAUCGACCAAAAUCAACCAAAAUUGGCCAAGUUGUGGCGAACUGCCGCUAUAGGCGGCGGAGCCGGCGCCGGAGUACGGCAGUGCCGUCGUGUCGGAACCCUAAAAUUUUUCGAAAAGAUUUUAAAAUGCCUAUUCUACCCUUUUAGGGUAUUUUUGGAUACUUGACGAAUUUUUUAAUUUU
rnacentral:lncRNA from 1 species